GAUCCUGGCUCAGGACGAACGCUGGCGGCGUGCUUAACACAUGCAAGUCGAACGAUGAAGCCGCUUCGGUGGUGGAUUAGUGGCGAACGGGUGAGUAACACGUGGGCAAUCUGCCCUGCACUCUGGGACAAGCCCUGGAAACGGGGUCUAAUACCGGAUAUGACACGGGAUCGCAUGGUCUCCGUGUGGAAAGCUCCGGCGGUGCAGGAUGAGCCCGCGGCCUAUCAGCUUGUUGGUGGGGUGAUGGCCUACCAAGGCGACGACGGGUAGCCGGCCUGAGAGGGCGACCGGCCACACUGGGACUGAGACACGGCCCAGACUCCUACGGGAGGCAGCAGUGGGGAAUAUUGCACAAUGGGCGCAAGCCUGAUGCAGCGACGCCGCGUGAGGGAUGACGGCCUUCGGGUUGUAAACCUCUUUCAGCAGGGAAGAAGCGAGAGUGACGGUACCUGCAGAAGAAGCACCGGCUAACUACGUGCCAGCAGCCGCGGUAAUACGUAGGGUGCGAGCGUUGUCCGGAAUUAUUGGGCGUAAAGAGCUCGUAGGCGGCUUGUCGCGUCGGAUGUGAAAGCCCGGGGCUUAACCCCGGGUCUGCAUUCGAUACGGGCAGGCUAGAGUUCGGCAGGGGAGAUUGGAAUUCCUGGUGUAGCGGUGAAAUGCGCAGAUAUCAGGAGGAACACCGGUGGCGAAGGCGGAUCUCUGGGCCGAUACUGACGCUGAGGAGCGAAAGCGUGGGGAGCGAACAGGAUUAGAUACCCUGGUAGUCCACGCCGUAAACGUUGGGCACUAGGUGUGGGCCGUACUCCC
rnacentral:rRNA from 1 species